UGAGAGCAAAUGAGAGAGUGAAGAUAGAGUUGAGAGAGUGAGAAAACGUGAGUGUGAGUAGAGAAAAAGAGAGAGCUGCAAUGGCAGCAGCCUUGCUGCCAUUGCAGCAGCUGUAAGAGCAGCAGAUGUAAUCUUUCUCCUCCAUGUAUCUCUAUGUCUAAUAAAAUGGACCUCUCCCGUGGAUGUAGGCGGAUUUGCCGAACCACGUAAAAUAUUGUGUCAGUGUGCUUUACCCUCUGAUGAGCAACUAUCAGUACACCCCCGGUCCGCGCAUGGGGGUGCCGGAAUCCCCAACAGUAUUGUGGAGAUUUGGCAUAGAGUUUUAAGAGAGGUGGGUUUCGGAAGGGUGUUGAAAACUGGAAAAAUUAAUAUGUGAGUUUUUCAAAGAGGAGAUCUGGUGUGAGAUCCCUAUGACUUGUGAUGCCAAGGAAGCUCUUUGAGUUGCAACAAUGGAGGUUUAGGAACUACCCCAAUGGAAUUAUUUCAAAGGAUCCAAGGUGUGUGUGUUGAUCAGGAUCCAAGGUGAAGACUUCAUAAAGAGAUUUGUUGAGCUUGAGGAUUCAAUCAUAACAAUAUUUUCCAAAUAAGUUUAUGCAGUUAAAGCACCAGCUAGGCACCCUGUUUAUCACAAUGCCAUUAUAAUUAUUUGGGAUUUUACUGACUGGAAUAUCCCUGAAUAUUCUAAAGAUUUUUUUGUAAAUCUAAUAUCAUUCGGUGUAGUAAAUACUUUUGUCGGCUUUGUAAGUAA